AAUAAUGUUUAAAUUCGAAACUGACUUGGAAAACCCUGUAAUAUAGACUCUCUCAUCCAACUUCUAUUCUUAGCCGUCAUUGGUAACAUGUGUCACCACAUAUGAGUACUUAGACUAGAUCCAAACCCUUGGGCGGAUGGUGGCAUAUGGCGAACCAGGAGAGG
rfam:Anopheles gambiae M scf_1925491374 genomic scaffold, whole genome shotgun sequence.